rnacentral:rRNA from 1 species
AUGCACGCUGGCGGCGUGCCUCAUCCAUGCAAGUCGCGCGAACGGACGAGAAGCUUGCUUCUCUGAUGUUAGCGGCGGACGGGUGAGUAACACGUGGAUAACCUACCUAUAAGACUGGGAUAACUUCGGGAAACCGGAGCUAAUACCGGAUAAUAUUUUGAACCGCAUGGUUCAAAAGUGAAAGACGGUCUUGCUGUCACUUAUAGAUGGAUCCGCGCUGCAUUAGCUAGUUGGUAAGGUAACGGCUUACCAAGGCAACGAUGCAUAGCCGACCUGAGAGGGUGAUCGGCCACACUGGAACUGAGACACGGUCCAGACUCUUACGGGAGGCAGCAGUAGGGAAUCUUCCGCAAUGGGCGAAAGCCUGACGGAGCAACGCCGCGUGAGUGAUGAAGGUCUUCGGAUCGUAAAACUCUGUUAUUAGGGAAGAACAUAUGUGUAAGUAACUGUGCACAUCUUGACGGUACCUAAUCAGAAAGCCACGGCUAACUACGUG